UAUCUACAUAGUUUUCUAUAAAUUAGGCUGAUACAUUUUGUUAAUAUGACAAAACAAGCUUGUCCUCCAUGAACAUGAAGCUGAUUAUAGUCUGUUUCUCUGCCCAGAAAGGACAUAUUUGAGAUUGAUCGAUCAAUCACAAAAGAAAGUGCAGAAGUACCAGAUAGAGAUGAUGAUAUAUAGAACUUUUAUGUAAAUGGGGUGAGUAGAUUCCAUGCUAUACUUGUCAUGCGAGCAGUCCUCUCUUGGUGUUAACCUCGCUUUCGUUGUCUGUUCGACCUUGAAAGCUAUUUAAUUUUGAUUGCAUAAAAACCCUAGCUAGAUCUGCCGGAUUUUCUGAUCGACCAUCUCAACUAAUCAUUCUUAAUUGGCGUGGAUGAUAUUACAAAGAACAUAAGUUCACUCAGAAAUUAAUGAACAAAGGAUCAUGCUUGCUUCUUGUUUUUUAACAAACUACACAGAAUUUUUGUAUCCGCAUGAAUUAAUAUUUUCUUUUAACUUCAGGGUAUUAUCUGAA